GGGUAGUUUGACUGGGGCGGUCUCCUCCUAAAGAGUAACGGAGGAGCACGAAGGUUGGCUAAUCCUGGUCGGACAUCAGGAGGUUAGUGCAAUGGCAUAAGCCAGCUUGACUGCGAGCGUGACGGCGCGAGCAGGUGCGAAAGCAGGUCAUAGUGAUCCGGUGGUUCUGAAUGGAAGGGCCAUCGCUCAACGGAUAAAAGGUACUCCGGGGAUAACAGGCUGAUACCGCCCAAGAGUUCAUAUCGACGGCGGUGUUUGGCACCUCGAUGUCGGCUCAUCACAUCCUGGGGCUGAAGUAGGUCCCAAGGGUAUGGCUGUUCGCCAUUUAAAGUGGUACGCGAGCUGGGUUUAGAACGUCGUGAGACAGUUCGGUCCCUAUCUGCCGUGGGCGCUGGAGAACUGAGGGGGGCUGCUCCUAGUACGAGAGGACCGGAGUGGACGCAUCACUGGUGUUCGGGUUGUCAUGCCAAUGGCACUGCCCGGUAGCUAAAUGCGGAAGAGAUAAGUGCUGAAAGCAUCUAAGCACGAAACUUGCCCCGAGAUGAGUUCUCCCUGAGACUUUAAGUCUCCUGAAGGAACGUUGAAGACGACGACGUUGAUAGGCCGGGUGUGUAAGCGCAGCGAUGCGUUGAGCUAACCGGUACUAAUGAACC
rnacentral:rRNA from 1 species